AUUCAGCUGACUAGACUCAAAUAGGAGGAAACGUGCGUCCUGGAU
rfam:Schistosoma mattheei strain Denwood, Zambia genome assembly, scaffold: SMTD_scaffold0004144